rnacentral:rRNA from 1 species
GCCGUAAACCUAGCCCAACACAUACUUAUGUCAUAAACACAACUGAAUAGUCUAAAUAAACCAUUCUUAUACUUUAGUAAAGGAGAUUGAAAAACCUAUUGGAGCUAUAAAAACAGUACCGCAAGGGAAUGAUGAAAUAAUAGAUGAAAAAUUCAAGCAAUAAAAAGUAAAGACUACCUCUUGUACCUUUCGCAUCAUGGUUUAAUUAGUCCAAUCAAGCAAAACGUAUUUAAGUUUGACACCCCGAAACUAAGUGAGCUACUUCAAGGCAGCUGAAAGAGCAAACCCGUCUCUGUAGCAAAAGAGUGGGACGACCAUCAAGUAGCGGUGAUAGACCUAACGAACUUAGUGAUAGCUGGUUACUUUAAGAAACGGAUUUUAGUCCAACCUGAAUUUUAGCCCGUAAUAGUAUACUAAAACAACUUUAUCAUUUUUCAGCGUAAUUCAAAUAAGGUACAGCCUAUUUGAAACAGGACACAACCCAGACCAGAGGAUAAGAUUAGCCUUAUGAACAACCAAGUUGGCCUAAAAGCAGCCAUCUUUCAAAUUGCGUCAAAGCUUAGUUCUUCUAACGCCUAAUUACCAAAUUUUUAUCUUAAUCCCCCAUUAAUACUGAGUAGCUCUAUAGCACUAUAGAAACUUUUAUGUUAAAACUAGUAACAAGAAGAAGACCCUUCUCUUAAAUGUUGGUGUAAAUCAGAAAGGACAACCCACUGAUACUUAACACCCUUGAACCUAGAGUAAUAACUAAUCAAGAAAACUCUACUCUAAUUAACGUUAAUCUAACACAAGAGCAUUUUAAGAAAGAUUAAAAAAAUAAGAAGGAACUCGGCAAAUAUUAACCCCGCCUGUUUACCAAAAACAUCGCCUCUUGAACCUAAUAGGAGGUCCAGCCUGCCCAGUGACUCUGUUCAACGGCCGCGGUAUCCUAACCGUGCGAAGGUAGCGUAAUCACUUGUUCUUUAAAUGAGGACUAGUAUGAACGGCACCACGAAGGUUAUACUGUCUCCUUUUUUUGAUCAGUGAAACUAAUCUCCCCGUGAAGAAGCGGGGAUAAACCUAUAAGACGAGAAGACCCUAUGGAGCUUUAAACAACAUAACACUUACCUCAUAAUAUAAAAAUUUCCGAACAUAAAUUUGCCAGGUAAGAUGACUAUUAGUUUUCGGUUGGGGUGACCACGGAGUAAAACGCAACCUCCACGUUGAAAGAAUAUUAUUCUAAACUAAGACCUACUAAUCAAGGUAUCAAUAUUUUGACAUCAAUUGACCCAAUACUUUUGAACAACGAACCAAGUUACCCUAGGGAUAACAGCGCAAUCCACUUUAAGAGCCCCUAUCGACAAGUGGGUUUACGACCUCGAUGUUGGAUCAGGGUCUCCAAGUGGUGCAGCCGCUACUAAAGGUUCGUUUGUUCAACGAUUAAAACCCUACGUGAUCUGAGUUCAGACCGGAGA